CAACUUGUCCCACCCAGUUCUCAUUCAGUUCCUGUGUUGACCUCUUCGGUUGUCAGUCCAGCUGAUUCCUCACUUGAAACAGGUCAUCUUAUAGUGAAGACUGCGAGUGCAACAUGUCAGAAAUCGGUGAAAUCGAUGAAGGGCUCUACUCCAGACAGCUGUAUGUUCUGGGUCACGAGGCGAUGCACCGGUUGGGCACAGCCAACGUCCUCAUUGCAGGCAUGCGUGGUCUUGGGGUAGAAAUAGCCAAAAAUGUGAUCCUAUCUGGAGUGAAGUCUGUCACCGUCCAGGAUGAAGGCCAGGCAGUGUGGGCCGACCUUUCCUCCCAGUUUUUCCUGAAGGAGACUCAUCUUGGUCAGAACCGAGCCACAUGUUCCCUACAACAGCUGUCUGCCUUGAACUCACACGUGGGUGUGUCAGCCCACACCGGACCACUGGAUGAGGACCUGCUUCUGGAAUUUCAGGUGGUGGUCCUCACUGACUCUUCACUGGAUGACCAGAAGCGUUUUGGCGAGCUCUGCCAUUCGCAUAAAAUCAAGUUCAUUGUAGCAGACACCAAAGGACUCUGUGGUCAGUUGUUCUGUGACUUUGGGGAGGAGUUUGAGGUCUUGGAGCAGGAUGAAGAGAAGCCGGCGUCAGCGAUGAUACAAAGUGUCUCUAAGGCGAACCCUGGAGUGGUGCUCUGCACAGAUGACCAGAAGCAUGCAUUUUCAGACGGUUCCAAAGUUUUCUUUUCUGACGUCCAAGGCAUGACAGAGCUCAACAGCAUCGGCCCUGUGGAGAUCAAAGUCUGUGGCUCAUACUCCUUCAGCAUCGGUGACACUUCAGCCUUUGCUAAGUAUGAACGUGGUGGAUUAGUGACCGAGGUUAAACAGCCCUGCAUGCUAACAUUUAAACCACUGAGUGAGGCUCUAUUGGACCAUCAGCUGCUGAAAAUGAAUGAUUAUGGAAAGAUAUCGAGACACAAGACCCUGCACUUGGCUUUCCAAGCCCUCCACGGCUUUGUGAAGAAAGAACAACGACUCCCUCGUCCUCGGUCUCAGUCAGAUGCAGAUGCCCUGCUCGCCCUCGUAGAAGAGCUGAAUACAGUCGCACAGUUGGAACAGCUGGAUGAAGCUGCUGUGAGAAUCCUGUCCUACACAGCACAGGGUGACCUGGCUCCUAUCAAUGCUUUCAUUGGAGGCCUUGCAGCUCAAGAAGUUAUUAAGGCAUGUAGUGGGAAAUUUACGCCUCUUCAGCAGUGGCUAUAUUUUGAUGCACUGGAGUGCCUCCCUGAAGAGGAGGACCAACUGGCAGAGUGCUCCUUUGCAGCAAAAGGCUCGAGAUAUGAUGGACAGAUUGCUGUGUUUGGGUCAGCGUUCCAGGAGAAGCUUGAAAAGCAGAAGUAUUUCCUGGUUGGAGCUGGUGCUAUCGGAUGUGAGCUUCUUAAAAACUUUGCCCUCAUGGGGCUCGGUGCCGGAGACGAAGGACACAUCACCGUAACAGACAUGGACUUUAUAGAAAGAUCCAACUUGAACCGUCAGUUCUUGUUCAGGUCUCAGGAUAUUGGGAAACCAAAAUCGGACGUGGCAGCCAAAGCAGUGCGAAAGAUGAACCCAGGGAUGAAAAUCACUGCUCACCAGAAUCGUCUGGACCCUGACAGUGAAGGAGUGUAUGAUUACAACUUCUUUAUGGGCCUCGAUGGAGUGGCGUCAGCCCUUGAUAAUGUGGAAGCCAGAGUCUAUCUCGAUGGACGCUGCGUUCAACACCAGAAAUCAUUGCUGGACGGAGGAACUUUAGGAUGUAAGGGUCAUACUCUGACCGUGGUGCCUCACCUGACAGAGUCUUAUGGCCCGGGCCAAUCCAGUUCUAAUGAUGCCAUCCCACUGUGCACUCUCAAGAACUUCCCUCACCGCAUUGAGCACACCCUGCAGUGGGCCCGAGACCAGUUUGAAGGACUGUUCAAACAAGCACCUGAAAAUGUGAAUCUCUUCCUGAGUGAUGCCGGGUUUGUAACGAAGACUCUUGGCCUUGGAGACGCUGAGGCCCUGGAGGUUCUUGGGGGGUUGUGGAGCAGUCUGGAGAACAUGGAAGCUGGAGGACAACGUCCAACAAGCUGGGAAGAGUGUGUAGGCUGGGCACGCUGCAAGUGGGAGACUCUGUACAACAACGAUAUCCGCCAGCUUGUGCACUGUUUCCCUCCUGAAGAGGUGACUUCUGCUGGUCUACCCUUCUGGUCUGGAGCCAAGAGAUGCCCACACCCACUGACCUUUGACCCCGACAGCACUACCCAUAUGGAGUAUGUGGUGGCAGCAGCUAAUCUGUACGGGCAGAUCUACGGAAUCAACGGGACAAGAGACUGCGCUGCCAUCAGAACAAUCUUAGAGAAAGUCCCCGUAACUUCUUUCACUCCCAAGUCCUCUGUGAAGAUUCCCGUCACUGACAAGGAGAUGGAUGAGGAGAAAGAAAAGGACAGUGAUGACGCUGAAAAAGCCCGACUUGAGGAGCUAAAAGGAAAGUUGGCCUCCCCGUCUCUGAAAAGCGCAGCCAUGCCGAUGUACCCCGCCGACUUUGAGAAGGUAGGGCACGAGUGCAGAGACACCUCUGCUGCACGGUCUGCAGAAGCCACAGACAGACUGGCGGCUGAGCGUUAGCAGGGAGCUGCACUCAAAUCUAUGGGUGCUUUCAGAAUAUGUCUUUCCCCCUCAUCUUUGGGUCCUCAGUGACCCGAAUCUGUGCUUUUCCUCAAAACAUUCGUGAAACAGAGCUUGCUUGUGCUCUAUGCUCACUGUUAUUACUCCUUGGGGCUAAGAUAUAUACUUCAGAAAUGUACAUCCGGGGAAAAAAAGAACACUUCAUUCAGCCGGCUCACGUGGAACAGAUCUAUUUCUAUAUGUGAGAACUGCAUUAGAACACAUUUGGUGAAUUUAAUUACAUUCAACAACUCGGUUACAAAGACACCGUGUUGACUGCGUCUAUGAAGUGAGCCCUGAAGGUAGAUUUUCCUCUAUAUCACUGUCACAGUCUGUCCUCACACUCUUUUUCACCACCUCUUAACAAAUAAUCACUCACUGUAUGGACAUCAAAUCAGGUUUAGCACUUAGUUGUCAUCUUUAAGUGUAUGUGGAAGCUAAGCAUAAAGGUCCAGCUUCCUUAGAAAGUUAGCUGGGAGCGCAGACAUACAUCCCAACAAACAACAAAUUCCCAACCAGUUGCUUCAGCUCAGUCAGCAGAGAAAAAAACUUUUUCUCCAGUGUUGUAAAGGGCAGCAAUUGUUGCCAUUUACAUUUAAACUGAGGGAAGGGAUGGGGUGGAUUAUGAUAAAAAAAUAAAAAAUCUUAACUACAUAAAACAGAAACAUAAUGAAUAUGUCAGAAGUAUCAACAGUGGUGACAUUAAACAAAUGCAGAAAUUCAAUGAAGUUGAUUCCUUUUUAAUUACAUCUUGAGUUAUUGUGGAUGUCUCUCCCCAAAAUCUAAUUGUAUGUUGUACUUAAUUAAGAAAUAUGUCCUCUGCAUCUGACCUAUCCUAUUUACCUGUUGACCUAUUGAGCCUGCAGGGAGUUCCUGGGUUUCCUGGGAAACCUUGGAAAAGGAGUGCCAUAAUUAAAAUUCUCACCUCUAUACAAUCUUUUCCUUUAUAUUCAUGGCUGUGUGGUUGAAAGCUGUGUCACAGCAACAACACCUUUACUUUAGGCCCCACGCCUCAACAAAGAGCUAUUAGCAAGCCAGACAGCAGUUGCUGUAGCUGCAGAGGUGAGUGUCAGAAGAAUUUAGAGAGGCUAUGGAAAAUAACUCUCAGGCAGCUGGAGUGAGGUUCUUGUGAAGCAUUCAGUGACUCAGGAGAAGCGGUAAUGAAGGUGUAUGAGGUCAUGCUGUGGGUAGAUGGAAUGUGUGUAGGAGAGUUUCAGAUGCAUCAGGUUGCCAGCUAGGAGCUUCCUCACAACCCCUGAAGCCAUCCCUGAGUGACAGUCGCCUUCCUAGCCUUUGUAGAGCCGCAGAAACAGAGGCAUGACCUCACUGGCCAUGUCCAUCACAACAGAAAUCUGAUGUCCUCUGCAUUCUGAUGGGGUGACCAAGUCAUGUAUUAGAGUGAUCUAAGUGACACAAAAACAAAGCCUUCAAAGCAGCCAACCUGAGCAUCGUGGACAUGGAUACAUAAUAAGAUAUAUUUUGUUCUUGUGCAUUAAGCUUUUGGUGCGUGUUAUAUAAAUGACUGAUAUACUGUAUGUUUCAUUUCUCACCCGGCACAGGACGACGA